rnacentral:lncRNA from 1 species
UUUAAGAUUUAGGGUUUAGGGUUUAGGGUUUAGAGUUUAGGGUUUAAGGUUUAGAUUUUAGGGUUUAGGGUUUAGGGUUUAGGGUUUAGAGUUUAGGGUUUAGGGUUUAGGGUUUAGAGUUGAGAAAUGAGGUUUUUGGGAUAAGAUUUCAAAUUUUGAAAAAUAAAAAAAUUAAAAUUUUCAAAUGAUAAACUUAGAAAUAUGCUAUUUUGGUCAUUUUAGUUUUUGAGUAUUAUUUUUGUGAUAUAAACUUAGAAAUGUGCUAUUUUGGAGAUUUGCCC